CACAUCUUAGCCUUUGGCUCCUAGCAUGGGGUUCUCCCGAGAGUUUUUAGAUUUGACUCCAUAGAACUGCUUAGACUGUGAACUCUAUGAAGUUAGGAAUCAUGUCCAUCGAGUUCAGCCCUACAGCCCCAGCAUCUACAGUUCAUGGCCCAUAACAGUGAAGGGAGAAAUAAGAACAAUGAGAAUCGGAUGAGUUAGGUCCAGUUACAGAGCACUAAAGGCCUAGAAGUGUCCAGAAAAAUAGUCAUGCCUGAAUGACAGGGGAAGAUUUCCUGGAGGAUCUGCAAGAAUGGACAGCCCGAGGGGAAAAAAAGGCCAAACCCCAGCCGCCCUGGGACUCGCCUGAGCAUUUACAUCUCUCCCUGUAGGACUCACAGGAACAGCAGCCAUCAUCACAUACAGGGGGAAACCUUUUCUCGGCUGGGCAUCAAGAGUAGCCAUACACGAAAAAUCUUCCGGGGGCACCUGGGUGGCUCAGCGGUUUAGCGCCUGUCUUCAGCCCAGGGUGUGAUCCUGGAGACCCGGGAUCGAAUCCCACGUCAGGCUCCCGGUGCAUGGAGCCUGCUUCUC